rnacentral:SRP_RNA from 11 species
CCGCACGGUGUCACGCCCGUGUGUAACCCGAGUGGGGGCUGGGCGAUGGAGGUCUGCGCUUGCGCGGCGUCUCCCGGUCGCUGGUUGAUCGGUGUCCUCGUGAAGGUAGGUGUGGCCGUUGGGCUCUCGUGUAAGCGAGAUCUCACUGGCCUUGAAGACUCUCGGAAUGCGUGAGGCUCGAUGAGAGAGCAGCGAAAAGGGAGCGCAUCUGCCAGUCACAGGACAGCACCG